AGCGAACGCUGGCGGCAGGCGUAACACAUGCAAGUCGAACGCCCCGCAAGGGGAGUGGCAGACGGGUGAGUAACGCGUGGGAACGUACCCUUUACUACGGCAUAACUCAGGGAAACUUGUGCUAAUACCGUAUGUGCCCUUCGGGGGAAAGAUUUAUCGGUAAAGGAUCGGCCCGCGUUGGAUUAGCUAGUUGGUGGGGUAAAGGCCUACCAAGGCGACGAUCCAUAGCUGGUCUGAGAGGAUGAUCAGCCACAUUGGGACUGAGACACGAACCAAACUCCUACGGGAGGCAGCAGGGGGGAAUAUUGGACAAUGGGCGCAAGCCUGAUCCAGCCAUGCCGCGUGAGUGAUGAAGGCCCUAGGGUUGUAAAGCUCUUUCACCGGUGAAGAUAAUGACGGUAACCGGAGAAGAAGCCCCGGCUAACUUCGUGCCAGCCGCCGCAGUAACAC
rnacentral:rRNA from 1 species